GCUUUACUUAAACACGUGUCAAUCAUAACACACUUUACAAUUUUUAUUUCUUUUAUAGUUAAGUAUAAUAGUAGUAAUUAGUGUAUAUCGAGUACUUAGACGGUAGUUAGGUAACUCCGCCUGUGUUUGAGGGUGAAUAGAAUAAAUUUUAUAAGAUUAUUUUAUUCUACCUCAUCGCAGCCAGUCCCAAGCCUGGAUAAAGGAGGAGGUGGUAGUUUUGCAUUAAUACAGAAAGUUUCAGAUAUAAUUUGCUCAGUAUGAUGUGAAACACCUCGCUGCCAGUCAAAAAAAUUGAAACAGUGUUCCUUUUUGCGGAUAUUUGUCAUAGAUCGCAGAAGACGGACAAACAACACAAAAUAAUAGGUUUAAUAUGACAACAUUAAAUCACAAAAACGCCACAAUUGAUUCCCAGUAGAAAUAGGAAAAUAUAAAAGACCAGUUUCAUCCAUAGGAAGAAAGAUACUACUUAUUUUACCAAUAAAAGGACUUGAGGGCAAAAUAUUUUACAUAUUAGGUACAUAUAAAGUUUUGAUGAAGAAUUUUGAUGAGAAAAAAUAUCAAAAAUGCCACAAAUUACUCUAUAACAUAAAGACAGUUUCAUCAGGAGGAGGAAUGACACAACCAAUAAAAGGAAUAAUUGAAGUCAAAAUAUUGUACAUAUAUAAAACAGGCUUUGUAUCAGUACAAAAUGGAAUCACCAGUUUAAUUUGUGUACCAUAUAAUGUUGCUAAUCAACUAAAAAUUUUAAUUCCUGUAGGAACAGCAAUAAUUAUAG